rnacentral:lncRNA from 10 species
CGCCAUUUUCCUGCCUCAGCCUCCGGAGUAGCUGAGACUACAGGCGCGCGCCACCACGCCCAGUUAAUUUUUGUAUUUUUAGUAGAGACGGGGUUUCACCAUGUUAGCCAGGAUGGUCUGGAUCUCCUGACCUCGUGAUCCGCCUUUUCCAGAGUUUCUAAGUUUCAAGAAGUGACGAUCAGAACACCUGUGUGGCAACAAAAACUUUGGCCCCAGCAGUUUCUCACUCUCCAGCUACUCCACUGGCAACUUCCAACAAUUUGUCAAAGUGACCACUUGCAUGCUCUUGCCAGUCUAUGGCUCCAGUUGCUUCUGUUCCAGGAAGAAGCAAAGAAGUCUAAGUUCUUUGGAGUAAGAUGCUCUCAAAUGCCUAGGAACACUGAUCUCCUAACUUGUCUUCCUGCUUUGAGUGUCCCUCUGAGGUUAAAGUUCCUGCCUCAGUCUCCAACAAUGACUAUAAGCCUCUCUGGGCAAGAUCCACGUCUUACUCAUUUUUGUGUCUGCAGUUUAGUUCCUGGUUCAUUGUAGGUUCUCAAUAAACGUUUGUUAGAAUGAGUUGAUCUCUUGGAUCCAGUGCCCCAGAAAGAUAUGCUGCUCCUCCCGUCAGAAGAUGGAGACUGCUUCCUUGCCCUUCAAUCCAAGCUGGCUCAUGACUUGCUUCAAUGAAUAGGAAAUGGCAGAAGUGAUGCUCUGAGGCUUCUGGGCCUAGACUUUAAGAGGUGUUGCCCCUUUCCUUUUUCCCUCUUGGGAUCCAGCCUACCACAUAGAGAAGUUUGGGUUGACAACUAAAUGUGAGAGAGAGACAGACAGAGAGAAGAGGGAGAGCUGAUUCAGCUAGACCUUAGUCAUUCCAGCCAUCCUAGCUGAAGCACUAGCAUGUGAAAGAAGCCACCUUCUAACCUAUCAAUCAGAGCCCCCAAUUUUACUGACCUCAGUCAACACCAUGUGGAACAGAACUACCCCAGGGAGCCCAACCAACCCAUACAAUCAUGAGAAAUUAAAAACUGAUGUUGUAGCCUCCUGAGUUUUAAGGUAGUUUGUUACACAAAAAUACUGGAAUUUUGACCCACCUUCACCUCCAAUGCCAACCUAGUAAACCUGGAUAUAUCUUUCAAAAUUUGGCUCAAGUGUCAACUCUUUCAUGAACCCUCUGUAUCCUUUUCUUGCUCAUUCAAGCCCUAUUUUCUCUUCUCCUCCCCAAAAUUCCAUAGUACUUUGUAUUACAAACUAUGUGCUUACAACCCCCAAAGUCUCUGGGCAUCCAGAAGGCAGAGAUUUGGCUUAAUUCAUUUUUGCCUCUGCCUAGCCUAACACCCGGCACAUUUAGAUAUUUAGUUAUUGUUUGCUGAAUGAAUGGAUGCAUGAAGAAGAAAAUUUAACAGAUGAUAUCUACAGGCACAUCUGGCUCCAAAAUUGAAUCAUGUCAUCUAGCAAUGCUCAGUAAAGUUAACAUAAGCAAUUUC